rnacentral:rRNA from 1 species
UACGUAGGUGGCAAGCGUUGUCCGGAUUUACUGGGCGUAAAGAGCGCGCAGGCGGUCGGCUAAGUCGAAUGUGAAAGCCCCCGGCUCAACUGGGGAGGGUCAUUCGAUACUGUUCGACUCGAAGGCAGGAGAGGGAAGUGGAAUUCCCGGUGUAGUGGUGAAAUGCGUAGAUAUCGGGAGGAACACCAGUGGCGAAGGCGACUUCCUGGCCUGUUCUUGACGCUGAGGCGCGAAAGCUAGGGGAGCAAACGGG